rnacentral:lncRNA from 1 species
AGACCAGAGAGAACGUGUGUUUGUGUGUGUGUGUGGGUGUGUGUGUGCGUGUGUGACGUGUGUGUGCGCGCGUGUGUGUGUGUGCGUGUGUGUAUGUGUAUGUGCGUAUGCGUGCGUGUGUGGGAGUGUGGGGGAGAGGGAGGGUGGCCACAAGUUCGUGUGUCCGGAGGUAAGACGAUGAAGGGUUGAAUUCAAACGGCAGACGCUACACAUCAAACACAAUUAAUAGAUCAUCACAUCACACAACAACGUGCGUGCAUUGCCCAAUCUUGAUGACGGUCCGACUACAUGUCGCAUCCAACUUCUAGUGCGUGAUGCGGAGAGUUGUGGGUAGGGGAGGGGAGCAGACAGGAUCGGGAGGAGGAGGAGGAGGAGGAGGAGGAGUAGGAGGAGGGGGAGGGGGAGGGGGGGGGGGGGGGGGGGGGGGGCGGGCAGCGAGAAAGCAUGUCAGCACUUGUUUUGAACAGCGAGAGAGGGCGUGGCGAGCAAAGACACCAGUGAGUGAAAGCCUGCCAGGACUACCACAUUGAAGAGCUCUCACCACAAGCAAGUCACGACAGCAUCUCGGGACGAUCACUCUCCCGUACCAUAAACUUGACUGUUGACACUAUUGCGUGGAAUUAUAAACGAAGACUGAUUAUCGCCUAAUUCGCGCCUAAUCGACGAUUCGAAAAAGCAAACAAACCAGAGGGACGUAUACCGUGGAAUGGUUUUCUUAAGUGGACCUUGUUUAUUAUAUUCUCACCUCGGGCGCUUCACCACGGCUUGAAUCAUCGUCCGCUGUUUGUUUGGCAGAUUUUGCGUCCGAUGUCCACUUGUUACCAUCGGUUAGUGACCCGCGGACAGAUAAUUUCUCACCACGGAUCGCCAUACACGCCAAGCUGCCAUUGAGAUGGCUCGUGCAGAGACACUGGAGAGUGCAGGAGCAGGAGGAGGUGGAGGAGGAGGAGGAGGAGGAGGAGGAGGAAGAGGAGGUGCAGAGGGAGAGAGAGGAGGCUCUCUGGUCCGGCCCAGCAGCUGUCGCAUGGAGCGGCCCAUUCCGGGCCUGGAGUCAUGGCCCAGCCUGCUCUCAACCACCCCUACCACCACCUCCAGCAGCUACGACCUCCACCAGAGCCUGAACCUCCCCCGGGCCCUCCCCCGGGCCACGGCCCUCCUCCUUCAAGGCCCGCCGCGGCCUCGGCCCCCCCAGGCCCCCAGCUCCACGAAGGAGGAGGAGGAGGAGGAGGAAGAGGAGGAGGAGGAAGAGGAGGAGAGACCCAGGGCUGAGGACAGGUUGUGUUCUGGGGAACCACCAGCAGAGAUGACGGGCUCUGGCAGAGAGGAGCGACAGGAGGCCUCCAGGGAGCAGGGCCCUCUGGCUGACAUGCAGGCCCAGGAUGAGCAGCCUUGCUGGGGCUCGGCCCGCCGCAGGGAGGCCGCGGUGGAAGCGGAGGAUAUUAGGCGUAUAGCUCAACGGCUGACGUUCAUCGGAGACCAGAUCAACACCACCGUUCUCUUUGUAGCUGAUGCUGCCCCCCAGUGGAGACACUUCAGAACGUGCCUCCACCUUCUCAACUUUGUCUCCCAGGCAUUCAACAACCUCUACCACUUCAGAUAGGACACCCUUUACCCGUUACCAUGGAUACCCCCCCCCCCCCCCCCCCCCCCCCCCCCCCCCCUCCUGAUUGGCUUCCCUUUUGUUGGAUGGAUCCAGCAGUGGAACAGUUCAGUGCCACUGGUCUGGUGACUCCGGUCCUAAGCCACUCUAAGGGGACUCCUCUUGGCGGACUGCGGGGGGAUCCUUCCCAUUAAUGAGGGGUCUGGGACUGCUGGCCCAGACUGGAACCGCGGCCGCGGUUCUGUACAUUCUGUAAAUGUGUUGGCUUUCUUCCGUUGUGUUUACUAGCUUUUUGGUUGACUUGCAUUUUGUUUUUGAGGGACGUAGCUUCUUGUGUAGCAAUGUGUGUGUGCGAGUGACUCUUAUGUGUGGAGGACUGAUAUCUGAGUUUGCAGCACUUGGAUGCUGGAGGAAGGAAUGCGCGCCUGAAUCCACCUGCUCUGGAGAAAACUGGAGAUCAUUCAUCCCAACGAUCCUUCAAGCCCAUCGCACGACGUGCCUUCCUACAAGACGUAAACGUGCACACAAUUUGACAAUCGCAACCUCAUCCCCGCUAGUGGAUGAGAGUGGCUAACGCUAGCUGCAGUGAGCAGCUAGCGUGCAAGAUAGCUGUUAAUGCCUAUAUUGCAGAGACGGAGUACUGCAAUCUGAAGCCACCAGAAAGCCUGUGGAAAUGAUGGGAUCAGGACUACCUGACGCAUACACACACACAUACAAACACAUACACACACACACACAAACACUGGCGCGCACACAAACACACGCAUACACGUGGUAAAUGAUGGUGUUUGUGCACACUGUAGAGGAUGGUGCCAGUAUUUUAUCUCAGAGAUUUGGAUAUUAGCCAGUUAAUUUAGAAGCUUUUUGAAGGAUCGGUUUUUGAGCUAAGAAUCAACUUGAAAGUCGUUAAAGCGAAUUCAAUGGUUGUGUUCGAGUUCUGUGACACCUGCAGCUCAUGCAGUUUAUGUUAUGUUUUGGACUGCAUCGUGGAAGCAGUAGAGCCAGAUUACAAGAUUUGAAUCCAGUGGAUUUGAACAUUUCCUGAGAGUAAAAAGAUAUAUAUCAAUCGAUUUAUAAAGAUAUGAUUUGGAUUGAUAUAUAGAUAUGAAAUGGAUCGAUAUAGAUAUGAUUUAGAUCUUUUGAAAAGGUAUCAAUUGAUGAACUGAAUGAUCCCUUACAUUUUGUGCAAAAAAAAACAACGUGUUUAUAUCAGGACCAUUAUUUAUUUUGAAAAGGAGUUUUGCCUUGUUUAUGUUUUUCUACGUUUGUUUUUUUAACUUUCGUAUAAUGAUUAAUUUAUUUGUUCCUUUACAUUCCAGAUUACGUUUCUAUUUAAAAUGUUUAUUUUCAAUAAUGUAACAAUAAUCCUCUCCCAUAAUUGUCUAAACUCCUUUACAAUUUCAAUCAAUUUGAAUCAAACUGCUGUUAUAGUUUUGAUGAUCGGUUUCUGUUCGGGCAGGCCUACGCUGCUAGGUUCAAGUUGGCUCGGUCAGCCCCUCAUCUUCUGUUAGAGCCGCUCAACUAUCAAGACAUUAUUCAGCCGUCAGGAAGCUUUCAUUUGGUUUCUUUCUGUCUAAUAACCACUGUCACUGCCAGACCCAAAUGUCAUGAAAUCGGAGUCCUUUGUAUCUUUCUCUUCGGGCCUUAUGUGUUCUCGUGUGAUGGUUCUCAGUUCACUGUUCUCCUGUUAGCAUUUCAAACAGUUAUGUUGUGUAUUGUCCUGCGCAGCUACAAACACGCAGUUUUGUUAGACAACAGCGACAUUUACAUUUUUCUAAAUACUUCAAAUGGUUGUGUUUGACAAUUUUCCAUGGUAUUUUACUGGGCAAAAAAAAGGACGAGGCACUUCCGAACAUUUCCGGUAGACUUCCUGUAGUGGAACGUAACGUCCUGUGGUCCUCUCUUUGACUUCCUUGUUGAACAGUGCACUUCCUGGUUACGAGGCUGAAGUUUUGCUGGUCAGCCUGCAGCCCUGCACCAAAGGUUUCGGUGCAGUGUAUAUUUCUGUUUUCUACAUGAAUUUUGUACUUAUUUUCAUUUCACUUUUUUAUAUAAUAAAGAUACGUUGAUAUACAUAUCCUGUUCUUUCUGCCUCUUAAGUGUGUGUGUGUGUGGGUGCCUGUGUGUGUGUGUUCGUGUGUCAAUAUGUGUGUGUGUGUGUGUGUGUGUGGCAGGCGUGUGUACAUAGUGAACAUUGUUGUGUGUGUCACCACGACGCCCAUCAGCAAAGGUGAACCCAGUUCAGCUCCAAGAAUGAGGGCUGUGUGUGUGUGUGUGUGCGUGUGCGUGUGCGUGUGUGUGUGUGUGUGUGUGUGUAUAUAUGAUGGCUUAAUUCGAGAAGACCACUUCCAACUGAUAAGUGGAGAUAACUUGACCACACACACACACACGCACACACACACACACACACAUGGCUAGUGUGCUGACAGUAAGACAGUAGUCCAAUGCUUCCACAGUGUGGAUGGAGGAAGCUGGAAACUUGUAUUGACGUGACCUUGGCUGCAGACAGCCCGACCCCAUGAGCUUUUGAA